rnacentral:lncRNA from 1 species
CUCUGAUCUACCACCUGCCUUGCUAGGGGCACAAGGAGCAGAACCACCCAGAGGAUUUUAAUUAAGGUUUGGAACAGAAGGUAGGAAAUCAGACAACAGAAGCAGCAUUUCCAGCUGUCCACGACACUCACCUCUACCUUGGCGACCACACACAGCCAUUGGAUAGGACGGUUACAGCACUUCCUGGGUGCCACUGUCACCAUGCACCAUACCUAUGUGACAGCCUAGGAGUUCUUGACAGUCUGGUCUCUAGGGAAGAGGCUCAGGGAAACCCACCAGCAGGAGGCUGCCUCUCCAGGGCUGUGGCCAGGUUGGUGCAAACAGGGCCGGCUGCAGGGAGAGGGUGGACACCUGAGGUAGGGAGGGUGACACAGGCUGCCUGGGAGAGUGGAGAAGAGGAAUGAGAGGCUCUUCUGGAGGGGUGCAUAGAAAAAAUUCUCCUGUCCCCACAAAUUUUCAGCCAAAUGCAAAUGCCACUGGUGCUCAGCCAUGGAUUCACUCUUGGGACACAACAAAGUGAACUCCAAGGCCUGCCCACGGCAUAAACCAGGGGUGCCCGGGAGUGGGAGGAGUUCAGUCUAUGCCUGUCUCUGCUCCCCUUUGUGCUUCUGAGGCCCCUCCACACUGGAAGUGUGACAAGGUGGAACUCUGUCUCAUUCCUCUCCGAGGUCACCCCCAUGCUGAACAUGAAAGGAAAGUGACCACAACACUCAGAGCGACCAAGAGUGCUUUAUUGCAGCAGUGCAACAGAGGAGAAAAGAGAGAGAGAGAGAGAGAGAGAGAGCCAGCAGGAGGGAGUUUUUAUAGCCCAAAUCUAAUGGGGUCUCUGGGUCUGCAAGUUGCCUUGUUGGCACACAAGGGGACUAAGUGCUCGGCCUUGAGCGGCAGGCUGAGUGUUCAGCCUUGAGUGGGGGCUGGGGCAUUUGGGCUUGAAGCAAACAGGUGAUAAAGAACCAGACAGAGGGUUUGAGUGGCCAGGUCACCCUGCAGCUAACUUUGUUUGGCAUGCCCUGCAGACAGCUUACUCAGCCUGUCCUGCACCUAACAGAACACACCUGGUCCCAGGCAAUCUCAGGAAAUGUCUGAGGACAGAGCAGGUGACAAAUGGGGACAACUGGGGACCUCGUGCUAAAUCUGUUCUAACAGAUGAAUGACAUGACACAGACACUACAUGAGCUUUGGAGAUCCGCAGGACUUGAGUUGGACCCGGGGCCUUAGGGGACGGAGAGACACACUGAUCAAAAGCGUCCAGAGCUUUCCCUCCCACGGGCGGUCUCACCUCUGCCCCAUUCCUGGCAGCGUCCCUAGUGUACCCACUGUUCGGGAUGAAGUGAAGCAGGUGAGUUGUCAGCCAUCCAGAUAUGA